rnacentral:rRNA from 1 species
GACAGAGGGGGCAAGCGUUGCUCGGAAUCACUGGGCGUAAAGGGCGCGUAGGCGGGAUGGCAAGUCGGUCGUGAAAUCCUUCGGCUCAACCGAAGAACGUCGGCCGAUACUGCCGUUCUUGAGGGAUGCAGAGGAGAUUGGAAUUCCCGGUGUAGCGGUGAAAAUGUGUAGAGAUCGGGAGGAACACCGGUGGCGAAGGCGGCAUCCUGGACCGGCAUUGACGCUGAUGAGCGAAAGC